rnacentral:rRNA from 1 species
UCCAGAGGUCCCGAGCGUUGUUCGGAUUCACUGGGCGUAAAGGGUGCGUAGGUGGUGAGGCAAGUCGGAUGUGAAAUCUCCGGGCUCAACCCGGAAAUGGCAUUGGAAACUACCUUGCUGGAGGAUUUGAGGGGGGAUUGGAAUACUUGGUGUAGCAGUGAAAUGCGUAGAUAUCAAGUGGAACACCGGUGGCGAAGGCGGGAUCCUGGGCCAGUACUGACGCUGAGGAGCGAAAGCGUGGGGAGCAAACAGG